rnacentral:rRNA from 1 species
AUACGGAGGAUCCGAGCGUUAUCUGGAUUUAUUGGGUUUAAAGGGUGAGCAGGCGGCCAUUUAAGUCAGCGGUUAAAUCGUGGGGCUCAACCCCAUUCUGCCGUUGAUACUGGGUGGCUUGAUUGCGGUCGAGGUUGGCGGAAUGCGUUGUGUAGCGGUGAAAUGCAUAGAUAUGACGAAGAACACCGAUUGCGUAGGCAGCUGACCAGACCGCAAAUGACGCUCAUGCACGAAAGUGCGGGGAUCGAACAGGAUUAGAUACCCUGGUAGUCCGCACAGUAAACGAUGAAUACUUGUUUUCGGCGAUAUAAUGUCGGAGGCAAAGCGAAAGCGAUAAGUAUUCCGCCUGGGGAGUACGCCGGCAACGGUGAAACUCAAAUGAAUUGACGGGG